CAGCACACAGACCAAUGGUUCUCAUUAGACUUAGUGUUUAGACACAGGGUGGGUAGUCAACAUGUUAAACUAAACUGGCGUAAGGAAAAAAAUACUGGGGUAAAGAGGAGUGAAAGUGACAUAUUGGGUAGUGGUUACAUGCUCAGGCUUAGAAUCAGAGGAACCUGGGUGGAUAGAAUAUGACCUUGACACUCUCCUCCUUAUUCAGCUCCCAGGAUGCCAGUUCUAUAAUUCCAGACAGAAAAUGGAGAUAUUUCUCUGGAAAAUCUGACCAGCAUAAGAGGGAAGACCAGAUGAUACAGCCAUUGGAGGUCCCCGGCUGCCGUGGCCUCACUAAAUCACCCUAAAGACCAGCUUACUGUGGAUGAAUCCCACCGAAGGCUCAGAGAUUUGGUGGCAGAGGCCAGACCAAAGGACACUUCUGACAGCUCUGGGGACACCAAGAAACAGGCAUGGGUGGCAUUUUGCGAACACUGAGUUUACGGUCUUUCUCGCCAUUUCCAAGGGCCACGGCUAUCAACAAUUUGGUGAGAUAUAUCUUUGUGACCAAAGACGAAACAUUUCCUUUUUCUCCCUACCUGAUCUCUCCAGAAUUCAAAAAUUCUCAAGUAUUCUUUUCUUGACAAUAUAUACUUGACCCUUGAACAACAUGGGGGUUAGGGACACCGACCGUCCCUCCCUGCAUAGUCAAAAAUGCCCGUAUAACUUUUUACUCCUCAAAAGUGUAACUACAGGACUCCUGGGUGGCUCAGUUGGUUAGGCAUCUGCCUUCAGCUUAGGUCAUGAUCCCAGGGUCCUAGGACUGAGUCCCGCAUUGGGCUCCUUGCUUAGUGGGGAGCCUGUUUUUCCCCCUGCUUGUGCUCUUGUGCUCUCGCUCUCUCUGACAAAUAAAUAAAUAAAAUCUUAAAAAAAAAAAAAAAAAGAAAAAGUAACUACUAGUAGCCUACUACUGACCAAAAGCCUUACUGGUUAAUAUAAACAGUCGAUUAACACAUAUUUUAUGUUAUAUGUGUUCUAUACUGUAUUCUUACAGUAAAAUAACCCAGAUAAAAGAAAAUGUUAUUUAAAAAUCAUAAGGAAGAGAAAUACACUUAUUCUAUAUUUUUUGAAAAAGUCCACUUAUAAAUGGACCCACACAGUUCAAACCCAUGUUGUUUCAGGGAAACUGUUGUUAUUUAUAUAGGUUCAAUGAGAAUCUGAUCUCCUUGUAAAACAAGACACAAUUGGAAACAUUGGUUAUAUUACCAAAGCUCUGAUUAGAACAUCAUAUUUGAGAAAGUUGUGCAUAGACUCACAUAUGACCAGACAGUUUCAAGGAACUAAGGUUGACCUUAGAGAGUCCAUAAAGUCUCAGGGAAAAAUUGAGCUGGUACUUUGCUUACAAGGUUCCACCAAAGCGGUCUUAAAAAGAGCUUACAUUGAAACUAAUAAUACACUCUAUGUUAAUUAAUUGGAUUUAAAUAAAGUUAAACAUUUUUUAAAAAAGAAUUUAUGUGGUAAUCACUAUUCUUGCUUCACUUAUGUAAAUAAUCAGGCAAAGUUUAAUGCAAACAAAUUAGUUUUACUAUAAAAAAUGAAGGUAAUUGUGAGAGAAGAAAUUAUGUUUACACUUUCAUGUGGAUUAGAUUCUAAUCCUGUUAAUUGUCUUAGAGGUUCUAUUAUAUACCUGUAAAUUGGACUGGAUCCUGAAUUCUUCUAGUUUCCUAAAAAAUCUGGCUAUGACUCUUCAAACUAACACUUCCAAUUUUCUCUCACCCUUCUGAUUUGGAAUCACUAAGAACAAAGACUGCCCUUGAAUCUCUUUCGAAGGGACGACACCAGGUCCUCCUCACCACCCAGAAGGCAGCCAGUCUCCAGGGACUUAAACCUUGGAUAUGCAUCUCACAGCUGGAGAAGGCCCCACCUGACAUCUGGUGCCACACAAGUGUUAGAGACCUCCGAGUCAAAGUGACUAGGGAGAGAAGUAGUUGACGUCGAGGUAGAUCAAGACGCCAGAUCAAGACUUCUUACUUUAACUGAAUUUGAAGGCCUUUCCUCUUCUCUUUCCUUUACUCUGGUGCUGGCCUGGAAAGAUAACACCAUCCUCCACAUCUACUGGGCCACAGCUAAGGAGGGGGUAACCUCUGGAACUUAGAACAACUUUUUAUUUCAGGCUAAGAAAAGACCUAACUGACCCCUGGCUCGAAUGGGCAAACCCAACAAUCUCCGAGAAUGAAUCCACCUAACAGUGCCACCUGAUCGAGAAGCGGUUUGUGCCCCGAGAGGGUUUGUCUUUGUCCCUGGUGGUUAGAACUCUCCUUGGGCCUCCAAAGGACUAGAUAGCUGGCACACAGCCAGGAAGUGCCUUUUAGGUCAUCCAAGUGUGUCCCCAGCUUGCCAUGUAUGAACUAAGACCCCUCCUUGUACAACUCCCCUGGAUUUACAUCAUCGAGUUAGAGGAAGAAUUGAGUUAGAAAGGAAUCAUUGAUUAUUCAUGACUCGGGAUUCACUUCCUUUGGUAGAGCCACACUUCCCUGGUUAGGAGUAGAGGAAAUGUACAUCAGAAUAUGAUCAGAAACCUCUUUAACUCUUGAAGAUAUGGUAAAAUCUGUUGCCAAGACAAAGAUAAGAGCUGCCCAUCAAAGACCCUUAGAUUCUCUGGCCACAGCCGCUCUUGAUGAUAGCAUAGUCCUUAAUUAUCUUUAGCUGAGCAAGGGGAUGUCCCCACUGUGGCCAACACCACCUGUUGCACCUGGAUUAACACUUCUGGAGGAGUUGAAACUCACUUAACAUAAGAUCACUGAGCAAGCCACUUGACUUAAAAGGGUGACCCCCACAAUAGGACCUCCCUUUGACUUCUUUGAUUUUGAUUGGUUUGGACGUUGGGGACCAUGGCUCCAAAGUGCAUUCCCAAACACCAGGAAUUAAUCAUCAUAGUCUCCUUGGUCCACUGUUACCCUCUCAACAGCUUCAAAUGCAUGUUCACAGGCACUGACCACCAAGCAAAUGAUCUCCCCAAAACAGAAACACCAAAAAAGGAAUGAAGAGAAUGAGCAACUUAUAGAUUAUGAACCUGAUGUCGUGUGGCCUGUAGAAUAUCACAGAGGUUAAGCCCAAAACCACUGUGACCUGUGAAUACCACACAAAGGAUCAACAGAAUUUCACAAAAAGCCGCGAGAACUUCAGGCACUGAGAGCGGCCCUAAUGCCUUCCAUUUUGAUCGUACUGCUCAGUUAAGCUGAGACGCUGAUCAAAAGUGGGAGUUGUUUGUUUUUUUUUUUUAAAGAUGUACUUAUUUCAGAGAGAGAGAGCACGAGUGGCAGAGGGAGAGAGAGAAUCGCAAGCAGACUCAGAUGGGGCUCAAUCUGGUGACCUCGAGAUCACAAACACGAGAUCACGAUCUGAGCCUAAACCAAGAGCUGGUUGCCCAACUGACUGCACCACCCAGGCACCCCUCUUCCACCCAAAUUCUAGUAGGGGUUUGAGAAUAUUUCAGGACUAGAGGAAUGGAAGGUAAUUAAGUUAUAUAUAAUUCUAUUGUCCUGUGCUAAUUGAACUAAAAAGAAACAGGCUCUGGAGAGAUGGAAGGUGUGGCUGAGGAGUUGAGGGUAGAAGGAAGAGCUGUAAAGAGCUCAGUGGGAAUGAGUGGAUCGAGGCGAGAGGGGCUCAGCGAAUCCAGUCUGAGGGAAAGGGUUGGGGCCCAGCAGUCUGAAAACCCAGAAGACAUAGUCUUGGUAAACUGCAGUGGGAAAAGCCAUGGAGACACAACUGCCUCAGAGAAUUGUCAAUUUGGAGCCAACUGCCAGAAGAAAAGCACUCUACUUUUUCAGAGUUCAAGACCCCGAGAGAGCAGAGGGAAAGUGAAUUAAUUCAGAAACGUUAAACCUUAAGGUAAAAGGGGAAGCUAGAGGGUGAGGACCUGGCAGAAACUGCCUCGUGUAUCAGGCCCUACUUGCACGUAGGGCUCCCAGGAUACAGGACACUGGGCAAACUGGGAGGUGUUGGCCUGCCUUACUUCCGUGGUUCUAAGUACUCACCAGAAAUCUUUGAUCAUUCGAUUCUACUAUUUCAGUCAGCCUCCCAGCCUGCUGCUGGCUUCUGUUUCACCUAUCACAGACCUUGCCGUUGGUCUGCACUCUUGUCCUUUUGCUCCAGUUCAUACAGGAAAACCCAGCCCUGGAUUAACCCAUUCCCUGCAACUGGGUCUCCAGUUAAACGGAAUGAAUCAUAUAUUCAGUUAUUGCGUGGUCUCCAGCCUCACCCUCUCAGGAACAUCCUGGAGGCCGAUCAUUGUCCCACUCACUUUAAUUAAUCCAGACCCAUACAACCCUUGCUCCUUCAUGUUCAGCGUUCAAACUGGCUGCUAGUUUUCAAGUUAAUCGAAAAAAUAAUGCAGAACCCCUGUUGUCCCCCAGCCACCCAGCCCACGCACACUUUCAAAUCCGUGCACAUUUUGUUCUCUUGCUGUCUCCCUUCCUGUUGCAGCUCCACCUGUGCCCUUGGUUCCUCCUCUCCUCCUCUGGGAUCUUGUGCCAUUAUUCACUCCUUCCUCUCUCUGACUCUACAAGAUCCCUUCUUCUCUGCCUAUU